rnacentral:rRNA from 1 species
GAUGAACGCUGGCGGCGUGCCUAAUACAUGCAAGUCGAGCGAACGGACGAGAAGCUUGCUUCUCUGAUGUUAGCGGCGGACGGGUGAGUAACACGUGGAUAACCUACCUAUAAGACUGGGAUAACUUCGGGAAACCGGAGCUAAUACCGGAUGAUAUUUUGAACCGCAUGGUUCAAAAGUGAAAGACGGUCUUGCUGUCACUUAUAGAUGUAUCCGCGCUGCAUUAGCUAGUUGGUAAGGUAACGGCUUACCAAGGCAACGAUGCAUAGCCGACCUGAGAGGGUGAUCGGCCACACUGGAACUGAGACACGGUCCAGACUCCUACGGGAGGCAGCAGUAGGGAAUCUUCCGCAAUGGGCGAAAGCCUGACGGAGCAACGCCGCGUGAGUGAUGAAGGCCUUCGGAUCGUAAAACUCUGUUAUUAGGGAAGAACAUAUGUGUAAGUAACUGUGCACAUCUUGACGGUACCUAAUCAGAAAGCCACGGCUAACUACGUG